CUUAGAUUACAUACAGGAGGCUCCUGCAGGGUCUAGCAAGCUAUUAACAGAUCAGGAGAUUUAAAAAAAAAAAAAAAAAAAAUCUAAAUUAAACAGAAUUUGCAUAAAGUGUAAACAUUAGAUGACUCUUUACAGGAAGUGUUUAGAAAGGCGGUGUAAGUCACAUGCAGGGAGGUGGGACUUGAGUUGCAUAAACAAAGUGAUUUAACUUCUAAAUGGCAGGGAAUUGAACAGUGAAACUUCGGAGGCA